CUUGACCCAAAUCCAAAGACCCAACCUGAGUUUGGGUCAGGUUGUCAAGUUCCUCAGGUUGGAAAAUGCCAACCUGAUUUGAAUUUUGGUUGGGUUCAGGUUGAGCAAAUUUGGGUUGGGCUAGGUAGGGUUGGGAAUGAUCACAUGUAUUUGGGUUUGGUAGGGUUGUGUUCGAUUAGGUUGUGUCAAGCAUAGAGGAUUCUGGUUGGGCACCUUGGGUUGGAAUUCAAGUUGGGUCAAGCAUAGAGAAUUCCAGUUGGUCACCUUGGGUUGAAAGUGCUUGAAUAUUGAUUUUCUAUAUGAUGAAGAUUGUUUGAGUAAUAUUUGUUGGUCCAAUUCAUGAUGGCGAAUGGUACUCUAGUUCGGGUUCUUAUUCAUACGGAUGUUACAAAGUACCUAAGCUUCAAAGCUGUGGACGGGGGCUGUGUCUCUAAUAAAGGAAAGGUUCACAAGGUUCCAGCAACAGACAUGGAGGCUCUCAAAUCUCCAUUGAUGGGCUUAUUUGAAAAGCGUCUUGCUCGUAAGUUCUUCAUCUAUGUCCAAAAUUAUGUAGAAAAUGAUCCCAAGACACAUGAAGGACUGGACCUUACAAGAGUGACGACUAGAGAACUUAUUGC